GACGAACGCUGGCGGCGUGCUUAACACAUGCAAGUCGAACGGAAAGGCCCUGCUUUUGUGGGGUGCUCGAGUGGCGAACGGGUGAGUAACACGUGAGUAACCUGCCCUUGACUUUGGGAUAACUUCAGGAAACUGGGGCUAAUACCGGAUAGGAGCUCCUGCUGCAUGGUGGGGGUUGGAAAGUUUCUGCGGUCGGGGAUGGACUCGCGGCUUAUCAGCUUGUUGGUGGGGUAGUGGCUUACCAAGGCUUUGACGGGUAGCCGGCCUGAGAGGGUGACCGGCCAAAAUGGGACUGAGAUACGGCCCAGACUCCAACGGGAGGCAGCAGUGGGGAAUAUUGCACAAUGGGAGGAAGCCUGAUGCAGCAACGCCGCGUGCGGGAUGACGGCCUUCGGGUUGUAAACCGAUUUAGCAUGUGACGAAGCGUGAGUGGCGGUAAUGGGUAAAGAAGCACCGGCUAACUACGUG
rnacentral:rRNA from 1 species